rnacentral:hammerhead_ribozyme from 1 species
GUCCAGCUGACGAGUCCAAAAUAGGACGAAACGCGCGUCCUGGAU